ACGUCUCCAUACGCCCGUUGUGCUCCUUGCCACAAGCUCCCCCACCUCCCGAAAAUGAAACACAGAUAGACACACAGGCCUUGUGAUGGCUGCACAUGUCGCCAGCUUUGCAUACCUUCAAAUGCACCAGGACUCUUACUUUGAAAUCCACACACGCACACGCACACGCUGCAGAGAGCGGGCUUAUGUGUCCCAUAUGUGAUGCCACAUUGAAUAUCCGGCAGGAAUGGUCCUUCUCCUCCUACUUUGGAGGCUGAUUCCUUCUCGUCUUCUGAAAAGGUUUUUCAAGGUUCUUCUUUGGUCUUUUUCUUUUCGUUUGCUCUCCUGCGUGUCGGAGGUUUCUGGAUCGCAUCGGAGAUCUGUCGCCCAGGGCUACUUAGUGAUUCUCUUUUUUUAAUAUAUAUAUAUAUAAAAAUCGCAAGAACAACUAUGAAAACAAAAAAACAUCACAGUAAAAAUAAUAACGCAAAGUGCAUUUGUGCAAAAGAGGAAUGAAGCAGUAAAAGAGUAAAAAAAACAAUGUGAGACGCAGAAUAACGAGAUCAAUCCAAUUAUAACAAUCAAGUCAAAGAUCCAUAAAAUGUUUGCAGUACUGUUAAAUUCUCUGGGCUUUAAACUUGACAUAAUUGUAUAUUUUAUAGCCAGGGUAAAAUAAUGAAUGAAUGAUAUAUUAAAAUUGGAGCUCCAUGUUAUCUGGAAGAGGAAUCUGAUCCCGGUUCAGUUCAGCUGCUGGAAGUUUGUGAGUCUCCCGCGUCGCACUGAUUAAACUGCCGUCGCCACGGCGACAAACGAGGAGUCGCGAGUUGCACGUCCUCUAAUUGGGAAACAAAGGUGUGUUGUUUUUCCUGCAGCAGGUGUGCGUGUGUGUGCAUGCAUGUGCGUGUGUGUGUGUGCGUGCACGUGAGCCCAAUUGCUGCAUCUAUUCUGAGCCGUCCACUUCUUUAGCGCUCGCACCGCUCGAUAAUUAACACCUGCCUCUUCAGUGUGUGUGUGUGUGUGUGUGUGUGUGUGUGUGUGACCCAGAACAGCUGAAAACAGAAAGACAGCGAUAGACUUGUCAUUAUUUUUUCUGAUCUGAUGUGUGUGUGCAGAAUGUCACACACACACACACACUCCGUCCCAUCGGGUGUGUGUGUCCUCCAGAGAUCACAGAGUCAUUUGGGGUCACGUUCUUCCCUCAUUGAAGGAGAAUAUUUAAUGAAUAAACAGUUGUGAUGGAAUCAAUAACCGAUCGAAGGGGAAUAAAACAGAAUAUCAAUAUCAGACAUCAUUUCACUAUGUAACCCGUGUGAGUGUGAAUCUGCUGGCAGAUUUCUAUCAUUUCACAUGUGAAAGUGUGACAUGACCCUCAGUCUGUGUGCGUGUGUGUGUGUGUGUGUGUGUGUGUGUGUGACAGCGCUUCCCCUUCCACUCUGUAUGAGCAGCCUUAGCGGAGCUCGUGUGUCCCGGGGGACCUCCGUGAAAACUGUCCUCCUACACAAUUGAGCGCAGAGCUGUAAUGUAGCCCGGGGCUCACCUAAUGCAUGCUGGGUAUUCACAUGUGAAGCACAGAGCGGCGGGGGCCUCCGUGUCCUCGUGCACACAGCGAGGAGGCCUCCUGGUUCGUGUUCAUGUGCAGGUACGAGCACACGGGACGAGCGACCCUUGAGGAACGAGCGGGACGGCUGGUUGAGGAGUCGGAUGCGAGUCCUUUAAAUGUUUGCCCGCCUCAAAGUUAGCGUGUUCCGUCUUCCACUCUCAAACUCUGCGGGUGAACAAGUCACGUCUCGUUCUCCUAAUCGCCCACAGUUACUGCCGCCUUCUCGGGGGGGGGGGGAUUUAUUCCAUUUUUUGGCCUGAAGCCGCUGAAAAGGCUCAUAAUCAAAACGAGAGGGAAAAAAAAAAACUAAAAAAGAACUUUCCAAAUCUGACUUUCAGGAGUUUGGAAGCUGGCCAACUUCAUCAGAAAAGAACAAAAUAAAUGAAAAGCUCAAAUAGCUUCACACGGAGGAAAAGAAGCCGAACUGCACACGUACAUGAACGGCCUGUGAAUAAAUGGAACGUACCCCUGAGCCAAAUAUUGUUCACACACAUUUCUAUAUAUUUGUGUUCAUUAUUCCCCUGUUACUUAUCCAGACCUCAGUGGUUCACAUGGGGGAGGAAUCAGGGGGGGGGGGGAGAGGAGAGCGUGGAGGGAGAGAAUAGAGGGAGAGGUGUGCGUGUGUGUGUGUGUGUGUGCGU
ensembl:lncRNA